ACCUGGUUGGCUCAGUCGGUAGGGCAUGUGACUCUUGAUCUCAGGGCUGUGAGUUUGAGCCCCACAUUGGGUG
rfam:Mustela putorius furo unplaced genomic scaffold scaffold00109, whole genome shotgun sequence.